rnacentral:rRNA from 1 species
UACGUAGGGACCAAGCGUUGUUCGGAUUUACUGGGCGUAAAGGGCGCGUAGGCGGCAAUUCAAGUCAUCUGUGAAAUCUCCGGGCUUAACUCGGAACGGUCAGAUGAUACUGCUUUGCUAGAGUGCAGAAGGGGCAAUCGGAGUUCUCGGUGUAGCGGUGAAAUGCGUAGAUAUCGAGAGGAACACCAGAGGUGAAGACGGGUUGCUGGGCUGACACUGACGCUGAGGCGCGAAAGCCAGGGAAGCAAACGGG